ACUACGAGCCAAGCUUAAAACCCAAAGGACUUGACGGUACCCCACAUCCCCCUAGAGGAGCCUGUUCUAUAAUCGAUAAUCCACGUUUAACCUCACCAUUUUUAGUUAAUCAGCCUGUAUACCUCCGUCGUCAGCUUACCACGUGAGCGUUAGUUAGUGAGCCCAAUGUAUUUCACCAAAACGUCAGGUCAAGGUGCAGUAAAUAAAAUGGGAAGAAAUGGGCUACAUUUUCUACUUUAGAGAAAACGGAAAACUACCUAUGAAAUCUAGUUAGAAGGCGGAUUUAGUAGUAAAAAGGAAUCAGCAUGUCCAUUUUAACCCGGCA
rnacentral:rRNA from 1 species